GCCAGGUGUGGUGGCGCACGCCUGUAAUCCCAGCUACUCAGGAGGCUGAGGCAGGAGAAUUGCUUGAGCCCAGAAGGUGGAGGUUGCAGUGAGCCGAGAUCAUGCCACUGCACCCCAGCCUGGGUGACAGAGCGAGACUCUGUCUCAA
rnacentral:SRP_RNA from 1 species